GAGCUCUCUGCCCUUUACCAAUCCAGCCACGGGCCCAUCCAUCUGGCCCAUCAAGACUCACUCUCAUUUCAUCAGUCCAUAAAACCUUAGAAAAAUCAGUCUUGAGAUAAUUCUUGGCCCAGUCUUGACGUUUCAGCUUGUGUGUCUUGUUCAGUGGUGGUCGUCUUUCAGCCUUUCUUACCUUGGCCAUGUCUCUGAGUAUUGCACACCUUGUGCUUUUGGGCACUCCAGUGAUGUUGCAGCUCUGAAAUAUGGCCAACCUGGUGGCAAGUGGCAUCGUGGCAGCUGCACGCUUGACUUUUCUCAGUUCAUGGGCAGUUAUUUUGCGCCUUGGUUUUUCCACACGCUUCUUGCGACCCUGUUGAC